rnacentral:tRNA from 1 species
UAUGGAGUGCCGGAGAAACGGGAUAUUUUGAUAAGAUAUAAAUGUAUGUGAGAGACGUGCCUUCGUAG